AGUGAACGCUGGCGGCAGGCCUAACACAUGCAAGUCGAACGGCAGCACAAGAGAGCUUGCUCUCUGGGUGGCGAGUGGCGGACGGGUGAGGAAUGCAUCGGAAUCUGCCCAUUUGUGGGGGAUAACCUCGGGAAACCGGGACUAAUACCGCAUACGACCUACGGGUGAAAGCAGGGGAUCUUCGGACCUUGCGCAGAUGGAUGAGCCGAUGCCGGAUUAGCUAGUUGGAGGGGUAAAGGCCCACCAAGGCGACGAUCCGUAGCUGGUCUGAGAGGAUGAUCAGCCACACUGGGACUGAGACACGGCCCAGACUCCUACGGGAGGCAGCAGUGGGGAAUAUUGGACAAUGGGCGCAAGCCUGAUCCAGCCAUGCCGCGUGUGUGAAGAAGGCCUUCGGGUUGUAAAGCACUUUUGUUGGGAAAGAAAAGCAGCCGGUUAAUACCCGGUUGUCAUGACGGUACCCAAAGAAUAAGCACCGGCUAACUUCGCG
rnacentral:rRNA from 1 species